rnacentral:rRNA from 1 species
CCUACGGGAGGCAGCAGUGAGGAAUAUUGGUCAAUGGACGAGAGUCUGAACCAGCCAAGUAGCGUGAAGGAUGACUGCCCUAUGGGUUGUAAACUUCUUUUAUAUGGGAAUAAAACGUUCCACGUGUGGGAUUUUGUAUGUACCAUAUGAAUAAGGAUCGGCUAACUCCGGGCCAGCAGCCGCGGUAAUACGGAGGCUCCGAGCGUUAUCCGGAUUUAUUGGGUUUAAAGGGAGCGUAGGUGGAUUGUUAAGUCAGUUGUGAAAGUUUGCGGCUCAACCGUAAAAUUGCAGUUGAAACUGGCAGUCUUGAGUACAGUAGAGGUGGGCGGAAUUCGUGGUGUAGCGGUGAAAUGCUUAGAUAUCACGAAGAACUCCGAUUGCGAAGGCAGUUCACUGGACUGCAACUGACACUGAGGCUCGAAAGUGUGGGUAUCAAACAGGAUUAGAUACCCCAGUAGUC